GAUGAACGCUGGCGGCGUGCCUAAUACAUGCCAGUCGAGCGAACGGACGAGAAGCUUGCUUUUCUGAUGUUAGCGGCGGACGGGUGAGUAACACGUGGAUAACCUACCUAUAAGACUGGGAUAACUUCGGGAAACCGGAGCUAAUACCGGAUAAUAUUUUGAACCGCAUGGUUCAAAAGUGAAAGACGGUCUUGAUGUCACUUAUAGAUGGAUCCGCGCUGCAUUAGCUAGUUGGUAAGGUAACGGCUUACCAAGGCAACGAUGCAUAGCCGACCUGAGAGGGUGAUCGGCCACACUGGAACUGAGACACGGUCCAGACUCCUACGGGAGGCAGCAGUAGGGAAUCUUCCGCAAUGGGCGAAAGCCUGACGGAGCAACGCCGCGUGAGUGAUGAAGGUCUUCGGAUCGUAAAACUCUGUUAUUAGGGAAGAACAUAUGUGUAAGUAACUGUGCACAUCUUGACGGUACCUAAUCAGAAAGCCACGGCUAACUACGUG
rnacentral:rRNA from 1 species